AUGCCUGUGCUUAGAGAGGAUGAAAUAAAACGGAAAUAUGUCCGGGGCCAACCUUUGGUCGAGCCAGACAAGGUCAAGAACCUCCCAACGAGAAUGUAUGAAUUGCAUCAAUGGUACAUGAACAUUACCAAGAUUUCCGAUCGAUUGUCCCUCAUGGUGAAUGUCAAGGAGGAGCAUUACUACCAUGAGAAAGCUGUGUCCGUUGAGUAUUCUGAACUGUUUCAGUUAUACAAUCAAGACGCACUCGACAAAUCUAUCGCCAGUUGCUAUUGUCUGAUGAAGAUGUAUGAAAUGAGAAAAGGUGGACGCUAUGGCAUUGGGUUCAUUGACCCAAACACCGUUAAUGAAUACACAUGA
rnacentral:rRNA from 1 species